CUUGCUACUUUUGCCGGCGAGCGGCGGACGGGUGAGUAAUGCCUGGGAAAUUGCCCAGUCGAGGGGGAUAACAGUUGGAAACGACUGCUAAUACCGCAUACGCCCUACGGGGGAAAGCAGGGGACCUUCGGGCCUUGCGCGAUUGGAUAUGCCCAGGUGGGAUUAGCUAGUUGGUGAGGUAAUGGCUCACCAAGGCGACGAUCCCUAGCUGGUCUGAGAGGAUGAUCAGCCACACUGGAACUGAGACACGGUCCAGACUCCUACGGGAGGCAGCAGUGGGGAAUAUUGCACAAUGGGGGAAACCCUGAUGCAGCCAUGCCGCGUGUGUGAAGAAGGCCUUCGGGUUGUAAAGCACUUUCAGCGAGGAGGAAAGGUCAGUAGCUAAUAUCUGCUGACUGUGACGUUACUCGCAGAAGAAGCACCGGCUAACUCCGUGCCAGCAGCCGCGGUAAUAA
rnacentral:rRNA from 1 species